CCUAGGGACCCUACCCAUGCAUAAAUUUUGUGCACUGGCCUCUAGUUAUUUAAUAUUAUUUUAUAUCCAUAAUAAUGCUUUUUUCAAAAGUCUAUUUUGUCUGAUAUUAAUAAAGCCAUUCCAACUUUACUUCAAACAUUUUCAAGUCCUUGUACUUCAGGAGGAAGCCAAUUACCAUGUCAUGAGGACAUUCAAGCAUCCCUAUGGAGAAGUUUACACAUCAAGGCACCGUGACCUCUUGACAAAAAACCAGGACCAACUUACCAGCCUGUAAAUGGGCCUCCUUGGAAGCAGAUCCUCCAGCCCCAGUCAAGCCUUCGCAUGACUGGUGUCCCAGCCACCAUCUGAGAGACCCUGAGCUAGAACCACUGAGAAAAGCUAACCAAGUACAAAAUAAUUAUUUCUCAGCUCCUACAAAGAAA